rnacentral:rRNA from 1 species
CCUACGGGUGGCAGCAGUGAGGAAUAUUGGUCAAUGGACGCAAGUCUGAACCAGCCAUGCCGCGUGCAGGAAGACGGCUCUAUGAGUUGUAAACUGCUUUUGUACGAGGGUAAACGCAGAUACGCGUACCUUUCUGAAAGUACCUUACGAAUAAGGAUCGGCUAACUCCGUGCCAGCAGCCGCGGUAAUACGGAGGAUUCAAGCGUUAUCCGGAUUUAUUGGGUUUAAAGGGUGCGUAGGCGGUCGGAUAAGUUAGUGGUGAAAUCCCGAGGCUCAACUUCGGAAUUGCCUGUGAUACUGGUCGGCUAGAGAGUAGUUGCGGUAGGCGGAAUGUAUGGUGUAGCGGUGAAAUGCUUAGAGAUCAUACAGAACACCGAUUGCGAAGGCAGCUUACCAAGCUACUUCUGACGUUGAGGCACGAAAGCGUGGGGAGCAAACAGGAUUAGAUACCCGGGUAGUC